AGUGUCACGGAGUGACUUCGUAAGGGCGGAACUAAAAAAUGACGGAGAUUGGUUCCACCCGGACCAUAAUUCUCAAACACCGGGAACUCCGGGAAGGGAAAUCAGGGUUUUAUUGAUCGCAGGUGGAUAGAUGAACGGGGCGAUCGUGGAUUGGGCAGUAUGAAGAGAAGGAGGAGUAUAAAGAGGGCCUCAGAAACUGCAGAGGGGGGGAAAAAGUUCUUUGUUUUAUUUCAGCCGAUACGGCGAGAGAGUUGGAGUGUUUGGGCGAGUACCGUGGAAAGAAGGCAGAGGAUAUUGUUGGCUGGGCAAAGACGGAGACAAGGGUUUGGCAGAAACAGACACCGGGCUGAGUAUAUUGGAAUGUCUACUUAACUGUGAAAUGCUCCAUGGACAUGUGUAACAAAUUCUGAGUGGUUGAAAACAGGAAGACUCACCGGAAGUAUCGCCGAAGGAGGCCUUUUCGACAGGGCACGUGGCAGCAGGAGAAGUACCCAGGAGCUGGAAAGAAGAGGGAAAAGAGACCUCGUGUAGUAACGGUGUGAGUACCCUAAACCAUCGUACAGCAGUAUAAUCAUCUAGAGUGAACCAUCUGUGAGCGUUUUGUGAGUUUGUGGCAUAGUAUGUGAGCGGCCCCACUGUGGAGGAGGAUUGUGGGUGAGCCGGGACCAGUGAGCGAGAGAGGAUGUUGGGCUGUUGUGGCGGCAACGUUUAAAUCUGAAUAUUCGUGGCAUCAGUGUCUUCACGACUUCCAGGAAGAGUCUUUGGUCAGACGGGGUGUUGACCCUAAAUUCACCAGAGUGUGUGGAGUGCAGUGGGUGAGUCUUUGUCCUUUGCUGUGAGUGUAUACACUUGAAAAUUGCAGUGUUGUGCUGUGUUGUGUCGUCAACAACCACCUUUCAGGCCCGACGAAAUCCUGUGAAGGAAGUGAAUACCGAGGCUCGAAGAAAACAUCUCCAAUUAUAUGCCGUCGAUGACAUCCUGACCCUUCUUCCCCACGUGACGGUGGUGGGAAACAAUUUCAAGUAAGAACAGUGUGGAUCUACUGGGAAGUAUUAAUGGUGAGGAGUUGGCUGCUGUAGGAGGAAAUCAGCUGUGCGUGUAUUAUUACCUGCUGUGGAGUUCUUCAAAGGUUCGCCCCUGUCUAGAUCUCUUGACUUGUCGGUUGGUAGAAGCCUCAGAAAAGGAACGUCUGACGUCUAUUCCCUCGAAGAUCUAGCGGGUCCCUUUGAAGCGUCUACCUGCAUGUCGACUCGUCACUCAGGAUACAGAGACCGCGGAAACCCCCUCCCGUACACUUACCAGUACGGUUUUAGUUGGAACCCGGUAGCCCUUGUGCAGUUCCCCCAGCAGCUGGACGACCGGGAGUACAACCCGCUGGGCCGCCUCGGAGUUCGUCAAAGGUAGCAGCAGGUAUCCAUUGUGCAUCCAAACUCUCAAUACUUACCACUUGUAUCUGUUACGUCCAGGAAAGGAGAGGGCCCUGGACAGUCGUCCUGCAAGUCAGAACAAAGGGGCACUUGUGAAUAAGCUGAUUGUCGUCACAUAGCCAGAAGGAAAGAGGAGUGAAGGACUCACCUGAGAUCUCCCGUGACGGAGUCUAAGAGACUCGAGAUUGUUACUCUCCAAAAGGAGGGUUGGAUUUUAGCCUCCCUUCCCCAUACCCUUUUUUUUUAUAAUUUAAUAAAGUCUGUUUUAAAAUUUACUUACCGGCUCUCGUGUGUCUGGUCAUUGGGGUAUUCUUGGGACCUCCUCGAGGUGGAAAUUAGGAAGGGGCGUGACUCACAACAUCUGUGGUCAGCUCCGACCUGUGACA
ensembl:lncRNA